rnacentral:rRNA from 1 species
GUCCUUAGUACGAGAGGACCGGGAUGGACGCACCGCUGGUGUACCAGUUGUUCUGCCAAGGGCAUCGCUGGGUAGCUAUGUGCGGACGGGAUAAGUGCUGAAAGCAUCUAAGCAUGAAGCCCCCCUCAAGAUGAGAUUUCCCAUUCCGCAAGGAAGUAAGAUCCCUGAAAGAUGAUCAGGUUGAUAGGUCUGAGGUGGAAGUGUGGCGACACAUGGAGCUGACAGAUACUAAUCGAUCGAGGACUUAACCCA